GAUGAAGAACGCAGCGAAAUGCGAUAAGUAAUGUGAAUUGCAGAAUUCAGUGAAUCAUCGAAUCUUUGAACGCACAUUGCGCCCCUUGGUAUUCCGAGGGGCAUGCCUGUUCGAGCGUCAUUUUGACCACUCCCGCUUGCGGGGUCUUGGGCCUUCGCCUCUGGGCGGGCCUUAAAAUCAGUGGCGGUGCCGUCCGGCUCUAAGCGUAGUAAAUCUCCUCGCUAUAGGGUUCCGGAGGGAUGCUGGACAACAACCCCCAACUUUUAAGGUUGACCUCGGAUCAGGUAGGGAUACCCGCUGAACUUAAGCAUAUCAAUAAGCGGAGGA
rnacentral:misc_RNA from 1 species